rnacentral:rRNA from 1 species
GAUGAACGCUCGCUACAGGCUUAACACAUGCAAGUCGAGGGGAAACGGCAUCGAAAGCUUGCUUUUGAUAGGCGUCGACCGGCGCACGGGUGAGUAACGCGUAUCCAACCUGCCCAUCACUUGGGAAUAACCUUGCGAAAGUAAGACUAAUGCCCAAUGACAUCCCACGAAGGCAUCCGAAUGGGAUUAAAGAUUUAUCGGUGAUGGAUGGGGAUGCGUCUGAUUAGCUUGUUGGCGGGGUGACGGCCCACCAAGGCAACGAUCAGUAGGGGUUCUGAGAGGAAGGUCCCCCACAUUGGAACUGAGACACGGUCCAAACUCCUACGGGAGGCAGCAGUGAGGAAUAUUGGUCAAUGGGCGAGAGCCUGAACCAGCCAAGUAGCGUGCAGGAUGACGGCCCUAUGGGUUGUAAACUGCUUUUAUAAGGGAAUAAAGUGGGUCACGUGUGACUUUUUGCAUGUACCUUAUGAAUAAGGACCGGCUAAUUCCGUG